rfam:Oryza glumipatula chromosome 7, whole genome shotgun sequence.
UUUAAGUGCAACCAUAAGUUUCCACGCCCAACUUUGAUCGUCUAUCUUAUUUGAAAAUUUUGUAUAAUUAGUAUUUUUGUUGUUAGGAUAUGAUAAAAAAAAUGAAUAGUACUUUACUCGUGACUUAUGUUUUUAAUUUUUUUUAAUUUUUUUCAAAUAAGACGAAAUAGUCAAUGUUGGGUGCGGAAAACCAUGACUGCACUAAAA